GUUUUAAUAGUUUAAACGAAAAUAUUAGUCUUGUAAACUAAAAUUAGGAGAAUUCCUUUAAAACU
rnacentral:tRNA from 1 species